GACGAACGCUGGCGGCGUGCUUAACACAUGCAAGUCGAACGGCCAGGCCCUGCUUUUGUGGGUUGCUCGAGUGGCGAACGGGUGCGUACCACGUGAGUAACCUGCCCGUGACUUUGUGAUAACUUCAGGACACUGGUACUAAUACCGGAUAGCAGCUCCUGCUGCAUGGUGGGGGUUGGAAAGUUUCGGCGGUUGGGGCUGGACUCGCGGCUCAUCAGCUUGUUGGUGGGGUAGUGGCUUAGCAAGGCGUUGACGAGUAGCCCGCCUGAGAGGGUGACAGGCCCCCGUACGACUGAGGUACGGCACAGACUGCAACGGGAGGCAGCAGUUGGGAAUAUUGCACUAUGGGCGGAAGCCUGGCGGAGCAACGCCGCGUGCGCGAUAGCGGCCUUCCGGUUGUAACCCGCGUUCGCCUGGGACGAAGCGUGAGUGACGGUAAUGGGUAAAGAAGCACGGGCUAACUACGUG
rnacentral:rRNA from 1 species